rnacentral:rRNA from 1 species
GUGGGGAAUCUUGCGCAAUGGGCGAAAGCCUGACGCAGCCAUGCCGCGUGAAUGAUGAAGGUCUUAGGAUUGUAAAAUUCUUUCACCGGGGACGAUAAUGACGGUACCCGGAGAAGAAGCUCCGGCUAACUUCGUGCCAGCAGCCGCGGUAAUACGAAGGGGGCUAGCGUUGCUCGGAAUUACAGGGCGUAAAGGGCGCGUAGGCGGACAGCUUAGUCAGAGGUGAAAGCCCAGGGCUCAACCUUGGAAUUGCCUUUGAUACUGGCUGUCUUGAGUUUGGGAGAGGUGAGUGGAACUCCGAGUGUAGAGGUGAAAUUCGUAGAUAUUCGGAAGAACACCAGUGGCGAAGGCGACUCACUGGCCCAAUACUGACGCUGAGGCGCGAAAGCGUGGGGAGCAAACAGGAUUAGAUACCCGUGUAGUCC